AUUGAACGCUGGCGGCAGGCCUAACACAUGCAAGUCGAACGAGUGGCGGACGGGUGAGUAAUGUCUGGGAAACUGCCUGAUGGAGGGGGAUAACUACUGGAAACGGUAGCUAAUACCGCAUACCAUCGGAUGUGCCCAGAUGGGAUUAGCUAGUAGGUGGGGUAAAGGCUCACCUAGGCGACGAUCCCUAGCUGGUCUGAGAGGCUGACCAGCCACAAGGGAACUGAGACACGGGCCAGACUCCUACGGGAUGCAGCAGUGGGUAAGAUUGCACAAUGGGCGCAAGCCUGAUGCAGCCAUGCCGCGUGUAUGAAGAAGGCCGUCGGGUUGUAAAGUACUUUCAGCGGGGAGGCGUUACCCGCAGAAGAAGCACAGGCUAACUCCGUGCCAGCAGCCGCGGUAAUUC
rnacentral:rRNA from 1 species